rnacentral:rRNA from 1 species
UACGGAGGGAGCUAGCGUUAUUCGGAAUUACUGGGCGUAAAGAGCUCGUAGGCGGUUUGUCGCGUCUGCUGUGAAAUCCCGAGGCUCAACCUCGGGCUUGCAGUGGGUACGGGCAGACUAGAGUGCGGUAGGGGAGAUUGGAAUUCCUGGUGUAGCGGUGGAAUGCGCAGAUAUCAGGAGGAACACCGAUGGCGAAGGCAGAUCUCUGGGCCGUAACUGACGCUGAGGAGCGAAAGCGUGGGGAGCGAACAGG